rnacentral:rRNA from 1 species
CAGUCGCCGCGGGAAUACGUAGGGUGCAAGCGUUAAUCGGAAUUACUGGGCGUAAAGCGUGCGCAGGCGGUUAUAUAAGACAGAUGUGAAAUCCCCGGGCUCAACCUGGGAACUGCAUUUGUGACUGUAUAGCUAGAGUACGGCAGAGGGGGAUGGAAUUCCGCGUGUAGCAGUGAAAUGCGUAGAUAUGCGGAGGAACACCGAUGGCGAAGGCAAUCCCCUGGGCCUGUACUGACGCUUAUGCACGAAAGCGUGGGGAGCAAACAGGAUUAGAUACCCCGGUAGUCCCUGUCUCUUAUAC